GGCGAAUGAAGCGGGAAAAGCUCAAGUUUGAAAUCUGUGAGGCUCAGAGUUGUAAGCUGAAGAGGCAUCGGCCGACGGGUCCGUCCAAUUUUCUUGGAACAGUGAGUCAUGGAGGGUGAGAACCCCGUAAAUGCUCGGAACCUGUCCGUGCCGUGUCCUCGAAGAGUCGGGUUGUUUGGGAAUGCAGCUCAAAAUGGGUGGUAAAUUUCACUAAGGCUAAAUAUUGGCGAGAGACCGAUAGCGAACAAGUAGAGUGAUCGAAAGAUGAAAAGUACUUUGAAAAGAGAGUGAAACAGUACGUGAAAUUGUUGAAAGGAAGCGUUUGCAUCAGCCCAUGGCCGUCGUCGACAUCCGGGCUCUGUCCUGCACUCGUCGCGGUCGGGCCAGCGUCGGUCCGCCUGCCGAUAAGGCCUUGGGAAUGUGCCUCCUUGGGAGGGUAUAGCCCUCGGCGUCAUGCGGCACGGCGGGGCCGAGGUCCGCGGUUCUCCAGGACGCUGGCGUAAUGGUUCCAAGCGACCCGUUUUGAAACACGGACCAAGGAGUCUAACAUCUAUGCGAGUGUUUGGGUGUCAAGCCCGUCCGCGCAAUGAAAGUGAAUGCAGGCGGGAGCUUUGGUGCACCGUCGACCGGUCCGGGGGACCGAAGGAUCUGAGUAAGAGCAUAGCUGUUGGGACCCGAAAGAUGGUGAACUAUGCCUGAAUA
rnacentral:rRNA from 1 species